CAGCCUGUCCACCGUGAGGAUAUCAGCAGUCACUUAUGUACCAAGAAUCUUUCAUGGAUUCAGUUUUGAGGUUCAAUCUCCCCUUAUUUUUGUAGUUCCUUCUUUUAGCAUUUCAACAACUUGUUGAUUAUGAUUUUUUUUUGGUUUGCAGGAACAAGGCUUGGCACAUAACUCUUUGCAUGGAAAUCUUUAAUUGGUGUUCCAUGUGCCCGACGAGCGACCAAAGACAAGUGACAAAAAGGACUUUCCUGAUGGCAAGUAUGGCAUUGGUGGUAAAUCUUUCUGGUUAAGUCUACACUUUGUUUGUUUCCUUUAAGCAAUUCAGGCUACCAAUGGCAAGUAGGGCAUUGGUGGAAAAUCUUCCUGGUUAAAUCUACACUUUGUUUGUUUCCUUUAAACUAUUC
rnacentral:lncRNA from 1 species